AACGAACGCUUGCGGCAGGCCUAACACAUGCAAGUCGAACGCCCUAGCAAUAGGGAGUGGCAGACGGGUGAGUAACGCGUGGGAACGUGCCUUUCGGUUCGGAAUAACUCAGGGACACUUGAGCUAAUACCGGAUACGCCCUUCGGGGGAAAGAUUUAUUGCCGAAAGAUCGGCCCGCGUCCGAUUAGCUAGUUGGUGAGGUAAAGGCUCACCAAGGCGACGAUCGGUAGCUGGUCUGAGAGGAUGCUCAGCCACACUGGGACUGAGACACGGUCCAUACUCCUGCGGGAGGCGACAGUGGGCAAUAUUGGACAAUGGGCGCAAGCCUGAUCCAGCCAUGCAGCGAGAGGGAUGAAGGCCCUAGGGUUGUAAAGCUCUUUAGCCAGGGACGAUAAUGACGGUACCUGGAUAAGGAGCCCCGGCUAACUUCGUGCCAGCCGCCGCCGUAA
rnacentral:rRNA from 1 species